UGGAUUAUUUGGAUCUUAUUCUUUUGAAAAUUAUUAGAAGGUAAAAAACCCAAAAGAAAAAAAGGAUUUUAGGAAAAUAUUUUUGAAAAUAAGUUAAUUUAAAAAGAAAAAAAUUGAAAAGUAAAAUAUAAAAAACAACGACAUUUAGAUAUAAUACAAUUUUGCCACUAGUGGUCAUGAAUCAUCAUCCAUUGUAUAAGAACAAAACGAGCGACUUGAUCCAUAUCACAAUUAAC
rnacentral:lncRNA from 1 species